rnacentral:rRNA from 1 species
AGAGUUUGAUCAUGGCUCAGGAUGAACGCUGGCGGCGUGCCUAACACAUGCAAGUCGAACGGGGUUAUAACGCUGAGGAGACUUCAGUCAAAUCUUGUUGUAACUUAGUGGCGGACGGGUGAGUAACGCGUGGAUAACCUGCCAUACACAGGGGGAUAACAGUUAGAAAUGACUGCUAAUACCGCAUAAGCGCACGAUGGGGCAUCCUUUAGUGUGAAAAGCGAAUACGGUGUAUGAUGGGUCCGCGUCCGAUUAGCCAGUUGGCGGGGUAAGAGCCCACCAAAGCGACGAUCGGUAGCCGGCCUGAGAGGGUGAACGGCCACAUUGGGACUGAGAGACGGCCCAAACUCCUACGGGAGGCAGCAGUGGGGGAUAUUGCACAAUGGGGGGAACCCUGAUGCAGCGACGCCGCGUGAGUGAAGAAGUUAUUCGUAAUGUAAAGCUCUAUCAGCAGGGAAGAAGCAGACGGUACCUGACUAAGAAGCACCGGCUAAAUACGUGCCAGCAGCCGCGGUAAUACGUAUGGUGCAAGCGUUAUCCGGAUUUACUGGGUGUAAAGGGAGCGUAGACGGCAUAGCAAGCCAGAUGUGAAAUGUAUGGGCUUAACCCAUAGACUGCAUUUGGAACUGUUAAGCUAGAGUGUCGGAGAGGUAAGUGGAAUUCCUAGUGUAGCGGUGAAAUGCGUAGAUAUUAGGAGGAACACCGGUGGCGAAGGCGGCUUACUGGACGGCAACUGACGUUGAGGCUCGAAAGCGUGGGGAGCAAACAGGAUUAGAUACCCUGGUAGUCCACGCGGUAAACGAUGAAUACUAGGUGUUGGCAUGCAAAGCGUGUCGGUGCCGCAGCAAACGCAAUAAGUAUUCCACCUGGGGAGUACGUUCGCAAGAAUGAAACUCAAAGGAAUUGACGGGGACCCGCACAAGCGGUGGGGCAUGUGGUUUAAUUCGAAGCAACGCGAAGAACCUUACCAGGUCUUGACAUCCCUCUGACAGGUACGUAACGGUACCCUUACUACGGUACAGAGGAGACAGGUGGUGCAUGGUUGUCGUCAGCUCGUGUCGUGAGAUGUUGGGUCAAGUCCCGCAACGAGCGCAACCCUUGUGCUUAGUAGCCAGCAGGUAAAGCCGGGCACUCUAAGCAGACUGCCGGGGACAACCCGGAGGAAGGUGGGGAUGACGUCAAAUCAUCAUGCCCCUUAUGAUCUGGGCUACACACGUGCUACAAUGGCGUAAACAAAGGGAAGCGAGAUAGUGAUAUGGAGCGAAUCCCAAAAAUAACGUCCCAGUUCGGAUUGUAGUCUGCAACCCGACUACAUGAAGCUGGAAUCGCUAGUAAUCGCGGAUCAGAAUGCCGCGGUGAAUACGUUCCUGGGUCUUGUACACACCGCCCGUCACACCAUGGGAGUCGGAAAUGCCCGAAGCCUGUGACUUAACAGCAAUGAGAGAGCAGUCGAAGGCAGGUCUGAUGACUGGGGUGAAGUCGUAACAAGGUAGCCGUAUCGGAAGGUGCGGCUGGAACACCUCCUU